GAAGAGUGGCACUUUCCUACAUCCCUGCAUAUGACCUCUUAUCCUUGGCUCCUGGCUUCUGUAUGAUCUGAGAAGAGGUAACAGUGGAAUGGGUCAGGUGGAAAGAAGGCGAGGGAGAAAGGGGAGUCAAGGUGUCAAAUCCUUGUGAGGGAAGCAAAUAGGAUUUUGUGCAGGAUUUUGACCCCUCAUUGAACCUUGGCAAACAGGGCAGAAGGUGAUUGUGAUGAGAGAAGUGCAGGGAGGAAGUCAGAUUAAAGGCCUACAGCUUCAAUGUAUCUGGUGGAUGGAUGAAGAGAGAGACAGUAGGUCAGGGUUAGUUAUACUAGGGAAGGGAUAAAUGGUGGUUUUAUUAUCAAUAUGAAUGUUUUGAAUGUGUGAUUGAAACAAGUGAGCUUUGGAAAUGGUGAGAGUUGGGUGGAAAUAAAUUAAACAUUUAGAAAAAUGCAAGGGGAACAUAAACAUUAUUAUACAAAGAAACACUAAGUUAAAAGAACAUGAUCAAGGUUGCAAAAUCAAGCACCUAAAAGUUAGGAAAUGCCAGAAUUAAGGCUGCACAGUCCCCUGGUGCAUGUACAUUAUGAUGACACAAUCUUUAAUCACAUCAGCUCAUAUUGUGUUUUCCACAGGACUCCUUCCUCCCUCAGUUCACAGAAUGGACUGUGCUAAUUUAAUGAGAAGCUAUUCACUAUUUUGUUUUAUCCUCAUUGUUUCAUGUGUGGCCCUAGGCUGUGUUUCCUGUUCACUAGUCAAACCUUGCUCUGAAGAAAGAAUUAAUUUCAGCAUGGGCUUUUCUAUAACACUCAUCACCGCAAUAUCUAAUUCACCUUUGUAACACCCCUGUGAGAUGAGGGAGUCGUGGUAUCCUUGCUUUACGUAUGAGAAAAUGAGGCACUGACAGAUUAAAGUCAAAAGUAUGCACUACUAUUGUGUGCCAAAUUUGAGGCCUAUAGUACCUGACUUUUCAGAAUCCUUAGCAUUAUAUAGCUUUCUAUGUUCAAAGCGCAGCUCCCAUUGACUUCAACUGCAGCUGUGAGAACUCAGCACUUUGGUAAAUCAGACCCCAGGGUUCCAAGUUGGACAUCCGGAAAUUGAGACGCACACAGUUCAUGACCACCCGUGAAAAAUUUGGUUUAAGUGACUCACCUAGGAACUCUGUGGCAGAGUCAGGAAUAGAAUCCAGUUCUCCAGGGCAGCACAGGACUGUCUUAAACACGAGGCCACCUUUUCUCCUCCAGCAAUCCCCUGCCUGCCUCACUACAUAACUUCCAACGUCUGCAAGAAAUGAAGCAAGGAUCCUUCUGACAGGCUAUCUAGACCCCAACCCAGUCUGGAAGGGGUUAACUUGCAGCCAGAGGCUGCAUCUGUACUGGCUGUUAGUCUUGGAUGCACAACUUAAAAAGGAGAAAGCACAGCACUUGGGAGGAGGAAGGGUAAAAUGCAAACAGAUUUCUUUCUCUUGGGGCGAGCUGGAAGCCUGACUGGACAGGCCCUUUUGAGCUGUAGCCUGCCUGAACCCCUGGCUUAAGGGGAGGAUUGUGCCAGCCUCUCGGCUGGGGGGUUGACUGAGGCACGGUAGCCUGUGGUUAGACAAGAAGAAGGUGUCUAUAGCAGUGGAGGCAUGCCUGCAAUGAGGUGACAGACAGCUGAGCUGAGCCAGCUGGGGGGAAGGUUAGGUUGUUUACACAUUUCUGCUGGACUUUGGUAAAGGACUCUGUGACACUGGAAGGGGUCUGGUCUCUUCAACCUGUCUUGGCCAGAGGGCCAGGUCACUCUAUGACUGGAGUAGGCCAAAAGACAGUGGGGAAAACUGAGGCAGAGUUGCUGCAUCACCUACAUCUAGCCACAAGAGGGAAGAUCUCAUUCACCACACAAUCUUGAUUCCUCCCCAGAUCAGGUCCAUCUUGUGCAAUGAUGGAGGCAGAGGGUCCUGUGGAAAGGAUAGUAUGUGAUCAUGUAAUAGUGUGUCAAAUGAAUACUCGUAAGAGGGCUGAAUUAAAGUUGCACAAGCAACCUUAAUUUUGGCAUUUCCUAAUUUCUGAGUGUUUGACUUUGCCACCAUAAUUGUCUUUUAAUGUAAUUGUUUGUAAUUUUCAUGUGUAAUUUUCUAGGUUUUUAAAAAUAGCAAACUGAUAAAACAGAAAUUGCAUCAUGUGGCACAUAUUUGCACCUUUAUCAAUCAUUAGCACUGACCUCUGCCACUUGUGCUAAUGGAACAACCAAUAGCAGUAGUAGGAUGUCAUCCUCUAAGUGGACUAGCAUUAAAGGAGAAAGAGACACAUACUUUCCCAAUGGGGUUUCAUGGAUAUUUGCUGACAGAAGUGGAAUGGUGAGAAUUGGGAGUCUUGUGUUCCUUUCCAGGGUUUGGAGGGGUGUGCACUGUAGUGGACACAGAUUCUUCUCCUGUUGCCCCAGGUUUGUCCCCUUCUGCCCCAUCCAAUCCUGUCUCUUCCCCACCCUGGCUCCUUGUCCCAAUCCCAUUCUCUUUAUCCACUCAAUCUCAUUCUCCACUUCUCAGCCUUCUCGUCCCAGUCAUAUUGCCAGCCAAUCCUUGUCUCUCCCUCUGGGCUUGCAGUCUGAGUCCCAAUCUCCCCCUCCACUCCCAUUCUCUCCUCCCUCCUGCCACCUAGGUCCAGCCACUUGGCCCAGCCAUUCCCAGUUCUUCUCCCACACUGCAGGUCCUUGUGAAAUCUGUCUGCCCCCCCGCACACCGCAGUUCCCUCCAACACUGGUUCCUAGUCCAAGUCUCCAGCCAGUCCCAGUCUCCCAUCCCCCCUCUGCUUCUUGUCUGAUCUUGGUGGUCCCCUACACAGCCAACUGGCUGCCAGUCCCGCCUUCUCCCUCUGUUUCCUUUACUAGCUCCCAAUCCUGAGCUCUCAGUCUCCAUGUGUUUUGCCUCUCCCCUCAGGUCUCAGUCCCAGCCUCCCUUACUCCCAACUUCCCAUCUCAGUCGUCUUGCCCAACCACUCCCAGUCUCCCCUCCCACUGCUAACUCCACGUCUCAGCCUCCUUUCCUCCAUGGCUCCCAGUCCUAUCAUCUCAUUUCUUUCAGUCCCAGGCUCCUCCGCUUGCUCCAGUCCCAGUCUCAUCAGACUCAUCCUAAUCUACUCCUUUCCCUCCCCCUGGUCUAGCUCUCCUCCCUUCUGCAUUCAGAAUCAGGCAGUGUCCUCCUCCAUGCUGCCUGAGUGCUAGCAGGGGUGCGGGAGGGGCAUUGAGAAGCUCCCUGCUGUCAGUUCCAGUGUAUGGGCCCAAUCAGAAUAAAUUGCUGUUCUGGAGGGCAGGUGAAUGUGUGGGUGAUUACAGAGGCCCCACUUUUUUCAGAUGACUUUAAGCACCAGGAGCACGGGCAGUAUAGUUGCACACAGGAGCUGUGGAGGUGGGGAGGGGGAAUGGAGCAUACUUAGGCUAGGUCUACAAUACUGCGGUAAGUUGACCUACACUCCUCAACUCCAGCUAUGUGAAUAACAUAGCUGUAGUCCACAUACCUUAGGUUUGGGGUCUACACCGCAGGGGGUCGAUGGGAGAAACUCUCCCGUCAACUUAUCUUACUCUUCUCGUCGGGGGUAGAGUACAGGGGUCGACUGGAGAGCGUUCUGCUGUCAAUUUGGUGGGUCUUCACUAGACCCGCUAAAUCGACCGCCGGUGGAUCGAUCUCAGAGCCUUGAUCCUGGCUGUAGUGUAGACAUAGCCUAUGUCACUCUGUGGGACUGGCACACACACAGAGUCUGGUCAGUGCUAGGAGUUGUGAGAAGCGCAAGCAUGCUCAGUAAGGUCAGAAUCUUUGGAGAUUUUUCACUGCUAAAAUCAAAGUCUCUACCGAGCAUGUACAAAUUGCAAUUUCACAGAAGUUUAUCAUUUGGCUUGGCAGAAUUAAAUUUUUAUCUUUUUAAAAUUUUGAUGGAUAAUAUUGAUGCUUAUUUUUAAGCAUUUUUUAUUUUUAUCAAUUUAAAAUUUCACAGUAGCUUUUUAUUGAUUUAAAUUUUCACAGGUCAGGAAGGAGUGGGGAGCUCAGACAAUACUUAUUAAAUGACAGGAUACACAGGUUCAAAAAGUUAAAACUAUAACUGUUAAAACACAAAUUGUUAAUAUCACGUGUAAAAAUAUAUCAAGUAAAUAUCCUUAAUCAACUCUAACAAGUUCUCAAGGAACAUUUUUCUUACUUUGCCUAUCUAAACUUUUUUAUUAUUAUCGGUGAAAAUAUUUUUUCAUCAGUUGGUGGGUGUGUACAGUGAUAUUAACAUUUUUUGACAUUUACCAAUAAAAAUCUAAUCCUUCGAAGCCUAUCACUUGGCCAGAUUUGGAAAGCGUUUCAGAGGGAUGGCAAAAGGCACAUCCCUGACACAAAGGCCACCCUCCUCUUCCACCCCUCUCCCUCAAAUUCCCUGCUCCAAAGUAUGGGGUUGCUAGAAAAGGUCACCAGAUUUUUUUUUAACAUGAGCAAAACAGUGUAUUUUCCUAUAGCCUUGUUCUUGGGAACCGCUGAAAUUUUCAGAAAAGAAUCAGACUGAGGCAGACUUCUGGCAACUGAAACAGUUUAAAGUUUGGCUAAGUUAUAAGCAACUGAAAAUAGGGUAUUAUAAUGGGAAGCACUGGACAACAUUAAUAACUGGCAGGGCUUACUAGCCCUAUUUAUAAUACUUUUCCUUUGGAGUGAGCGUAUGUAUGUGCAUGUGCCCAUGUGUGUGUAUACACACACAGAGAAAAUGAAAUUGAACUGGCAAUAAUAAAAAUAGAAAAUGAACUAGGAAUUAAUAUGAGAGAAGUUACCAUAAACUGAAUUUAAUGGUCAAGGACUAAGGUUACUGACUCUAUCAUGUACUCUUCUGGGAACUUUCCUUGGCAGGGAUUGAUCCUUUUUUCUCUGUAGAGACUUGUGCACAUACAGCAUUAUUAGAUUCCUGCAAUUUGUCCUUUGGCAGAAUGUUUAUUUGUAAUUAUCCUAAAGUUUUAAUGGAAAUAUUUUUUUAAAAAAGAGAGAAAUGAGGGCUAAAAGGCUAAAUCAACAAAAGAGGACAAAAUAUGGGACAAAACAACUGUUUCAUCUUUCCUCCCAUUCCUUUGUCUGUUUUUAGACUGUAAGCUCUCCAGGGCCAGACCACUCUUAUAUAGGCUGUGAAUUGAUUAGUGCACUUUUGGUAGUAAACUGAAUAAUAAUAGUUAUUAUUUAUUAUUGAUAUUUUGGUAGCAUCUAGUAGUCCCAGUCAUGGUCCAGUACCCCACUGUGCUAGGUGCUGUAUGAACACAGGACAAAAAGAUGGUCCCUAAUCAGUUCUGAGUGUAUUCUAUGAUUCCAUGUCACAUAAUCUGCUCUGGAUCCACCCCUUGCCUUGGUAUCUAAGUGUUCAUUUAAAAAAAAUGCUUCUAGGCCUCAUGACUGUGAAGAAAACCUUAAAAACAGGAAACACAUGUAAACCAAUGGAGUGUUGUGUUCCUGACUCUGCAGACAGAUUGAGACAAUAGCUCUGGGAGAUGUGAACUGCCUUAUUCCUCUCAGUGGGUGUUGACUCUGAAACCUAAAGAUGAUAAUGUAAAUGACAACUCAAUUAACUAUUUCACUGCUGAUCACUUUAACAGAAAUAGCCAACAAAUAUACUGUUGCACCCCACAAUCCUAAACUGCCGCCCCAAUUGGGUAGUUAAAUGUCAAAGUAAUACCACAGUUAUUGAAGUAAGUUGAUUAUUCAGUAUCAUAUUUAAUUAGUCAAAACACCCCAUUAAAAUAUUUAAAUAAAGCUGCUGCAGAAUUUCCAGUAUAUUGCGCCAGUGCCCUGCAGAAACCUAGGAUCUUCCUGCAUGAUUUAGGUCCAGCUUGCCACAGAAUACAUGGGGCCUUGGUAAUAACAAGAACAGAACCGAAGGCUAGGGUAGUUUGUAUGGAUGUCUGCUGUCGCAUAUUGAGUCCUUGUUUGAAUACUACUCCAUUGCAAUUAGACUGAAUGGAUGGAUGAAUAAAUAAACCUUUAGGCUGGAAUGAUGUAGGCGCACUAGGACAUGGAAUCAAAGUCAUCCUCUCUCACUGCUGAAUCAAAGCCAAUGCAAAGAGGAGGUAGCCAACUUACUGGUAACACUGACUGGUGAAGCAGAGGCAUUCGUUUUCAAAGUGAAAGAUAUUUAUUCCCUGAUAGCAUUAUAUGCCUGUGACUUCCUUUCCACUUUACCUUCUGAUUGAAAUACCAAUAGAAGAAACAGAUAAUUCAAGAACAUGUUUGUUUUUCUGAUCUGCAUUAAUACACUACAGUGACAAUUACUGGGAUUGGAUUCUUUGCGGAACAAAUUUGUUUUGUGGUUAAGCCAAUCAGAAAACACCUUAUUUAUCAAAAUGAUACUGUUUUAAAUGGCUGUACUUUGACCAAAAGGCUCAUUUCUAGUUGUCCAGUUAUUUUGAUUUGAUUAGUAGGCAAUGGUUGCAGGUUGUGUAAUUGAUACUUAAUAAUUGUUGUUAGUCUUUGAAUAGUAGAUAGUAAAAAUAAUACACAGUAUUCUCAUUAGCAAGGCAAGGCAAGUAAUUGAAGUUUUCUGUUUGGUCUUCGUACAUUGACAACAUUUGUAUAGUUUGUCAGGCCAAUAAAGUAUUAUAAAAUUGAACUGAAAUUGUACCCCAUUGCCUGACCUCUGAUGGCAUGGGCCUCAGUCCCAGGGUGGGUUUUGGUGCCUGGAUUCUAAAUGAUGGUUAUGUUAGAAUUCAUAAGAUUUCUUCGCCAGGCAGUGUGGAGAAUGUUAGGGUAUGUGUUGUGUUUAUAUUAUUUUAGGUGUGAGGUAUGUGGGAAGUAAAAUAUAUGGGUAGAGUUCAGGUAGUGGCUUGAAACCUAAAGACUCUGUGAGGCCCAUUGGGUUGCUAUGAGCCAUUCCAGAAUGUUGGUUCAAAAGUUCAUUGGAGGAGUGAGUGUGGAGAAUUGCCAGCUGUAGGCGGUUUGGUCUGGGCUCAUGGAAGUUGCCAAGAAAGUUCUCUGGCUCCUGAGACUGUCCAUCGGGGAUGAUGGCGGUCUGGGCUGCUGAGAGGGUGGUGUGGAGACCAGAUUAAGAGAACACUGGACUCUGUGGCUUAUGGAAAGGAAGCCUAAACUAGGGUAUGAAAUAAGACUUUGCGGGGCUUGAAAAGGACAGUGGGCACUUUCAGAUCAGUACCGGAGUUCAUAGCUUUUAAUGGAAAAUAACAAAUUACAAGUUUAUUAAUUCAAUCUGCAGUGGAGCUGUGUUGAAGGGUGAUUUCUGCAGCGGCCUUUGAAGAACACUGACCAUACCUAUCAGAGACCCCUGCUCCUAAGGCCAAGAUCCUUGUAAGAGGGAACAGAGGGAAGAGUGCCCUGAGGUAAAAUUUCCAAUUGCAGGUUUGACAGCAUUAACUGCAAUCCUGAACUCAGGGUUUCAUGUUUCCUCUGCAACCGUUGCAAAACCUCAACCAACAAAAUCAGAGCAUAAAAGGAGACAUAAAAUCCUGAACUCCAGUAUUGACAAGUCAUAAAGUAUACAUCUACUCCUAGACUCAGAAAGGCAAUUUAAGCAGGACGUUCAAUAUUGCCGCUACAUGAGCAGCUUGAACCCUGGAUUUCUAUAACAAGUAUACAGAUGGAACUGCUAUGCAAUGCAAUCUCAUCACAUUUCAAACUGGCAUAAGGUAAGGAGCACAACUGAGAAUUUCCAGAGUGAACUCACUAGAUUCUAAAUUAAUACCCUACUCUAAAGUAUUGUGACCGUGCUGUGAUGUUUAUCUUAGUCUUUAUGGAACGUCAUGCCUUCACAAUUUCCUGCACAUGUUCAUUAGGGGGACCAACCUGCAAAUAUAAGCAUAGUGAGAAAACUGUUGAAUCAUAAACAUAAAAAAUUAAUUUAUAUUAACACUGAACCUUCUACUCCAAGAUCUGAAUAUGGUUUAGAAAUAUAAAUUAGUUUAGCCUCACAACCCCACUAUAAAUUAGCUAAGAUUUAGAGCUAAGCAAAUCAUUCAUAAAAUCAGAUUGACACCUAUAUUUGUGUGGGGUAAGUAAUACUUUACUCCCCAAGUCGUGCCACUGAAAUGAGUGGAGCUACUUGGUAGAAUAAGCUAUUACUCAACGUGAGUAACGGUGUUAGAAUCUAGACUGUCAUUAAUAAUUUAUCUGACAAGCAUAACCUCUUGUUAUUGUGAUUUCCUCAAAUUUAUUCUUUCUUUGAAAGUAUUCAAUAAAAUGUUUUUCUAAUUUA